rnacentral:miRNA from 1 species
AGACCUUGAACGACAUGGCUUU